rnacentral:rRNA from 1 species
GCGAGCGAAGCGGCAAAAGCUCAAAUUUGAAAUCUGGCGCCUUUGGCGUCCGAGUUGUAAUUUGAAGAUGGCAACUUUGGGAUUGGCUCUCGCAUAUGUUCCUUGGAACAGGACGUCAUAGAGGGUGAGAACCCCGUUUAUGGUGAGAUGACCCAAUCCUAUGUAAAGUGCUUUCUAAGAGUCGAGUUGUUUGGGAAUGCAGCUCUAAGUGGGUGGUAAAUUCCAUCUAAGGCUAAAUAUUGGCGAGAGACCGAUAGCGAACAAGUACAGUGAUGGAAAGAUGAAAAGAACUUUGAAAAGAGAGUGAAAAAGUACGUGAAAUUGUUGAAAGGGAAGGGCUUGAAAUCAGACUUGGUAUUCAGUGAUCAACUGUCUUUCGGGACUGUGCACUCGCUGUUUACUGGGCCAACAUCGGUUUGGAGGGUGAGAUAAAAGCUUGAGAAUGUGGCUAGCCUUCGGGGUAGUGUUAUAGCUCUUGUUAAUAUCACCAUUCCGGACCGAGGACUGCGCUUUAUGCUAGGAUGUUGGCGUAAUGAUUUUAAGCCACCCGUCUU